UCCCUUGUGGCUCAGCUGGUAAAGAAUUUGCCUGCAAUGCAGGAGACCUAGGCUCGAUUCCUGGGUGGGGAA
rnacentral:tRNA from 1 species